rnacentral:misc_RNA from 1 species
UUUUCUUAGACUCCAAUGAGAACAUUUUUCAGAUUUGUUUCGGCUAGGAAGUAUUUCACAUCACGUAUCAACAGUUUGGCUAACAUAUACUGCGAAGGAGACUUACUGAAUGACGUGCAACUCGGCCAGUUGUACGAGGAUUCAAAGACUUUUGUUGAUCUGAAACUAAGAUAUCCUGAGGACAAAGUCAUCGAAAAAUAUGCGGCGUUCAAGAAGCAGCACUCGGGCAAUGUGCCGGUGGACGCACUGCGUCAGUUUGUGGCGGACAACUUCGAGGCAGUGGACGAGUUGGAGCCGUGGAUGCCACCCGAUCUCAGCGAUAGGCCGGCCAUUGUGGACAGGGUGCGCGACCCCGUCUACAAGCAGUGGAUGAUCGACCUCAACGACGUGUGGCGGGUGCUCGCGAGGCGGGUCAAGGAUGAUGUCUUCGACAACCCUCGGCUCUAUUCGUUCAUACCGGUGCCUAAUGGAUUCGUGGUGCCAGGCGGUCGCUUCCGCGAGUUGUACUACUGGGACACGUACUGGAUAGUGAACGGCCUGCUGCUGUGCGACAUGCACAGCACGGCGCGUGGUGUCCUCGAGAACAUGGUCUCACUGGUGAAGCGGUUCGGCUUCGUGCCCAACGGAAGUCGCAAGUACUACCUGAAUCGAUCGCAGCCCCCGCUUCUCAUCCAAAUGGUUGACAGCUAUCUCAAAAUGACUGGUGACUGGACGUUUGUAAGGGAAAACAUUAAGUAUUUGGAGAGUGAGUUCAUGUACUGGAUGAGGUUCAAGAUGGUUUCGGUGCGUAGUAAAAAUGGAAAUACAUAUCAACUGGCUAGAUACUUCUGUUAUUCCAGAAGUCCGAGACCCGAAUCAUACAGGGAGGAUUAUAUCAGUGCGAGCGUAUUCGAGGACGAAGAACAGAGAACCGACUUCUACAUAAAAAUCAAAUCGGCUGCUGAGUCUGGCAUGGACUUUAGUUCGAGAUGGUUUGUCAAGGAUGGGCAAAACAAAGGAAAUCUGUCAGACAUCGCAGCACCUCAAAUAAUUCCAGUUGAUCUGAAUGCAUUCCUACAAGCCAAUGCAAAAAUUUUGAGCAAUUGGUUCUUGGAAAUGGGAAACUAUGCCAAGGCAAAAACGUACGCUGACCACGCAGUAGCACUACAUGAUGCAAUCAAGGAGGUGUUAUGGCAUGAGGAUGUGGGCACUUGGCUGGACUACGACAUUGUUUCGAAAAAGCGGCGAAACUACUUCUACAUUUCGAAUUUGACUCCGAUUUGGACGGGCAGCUAUGACUCGAGUUGGACCCAGCAACAGUUGUCGGACCGUGUGCUCGGUUACAUCAAGAGUACGGGCAUCACACAGUUCGUUGGUGGUGUGCCAAUAUCACUAGAACAAUCGGGUGAACAGUGGGACUUCCCCAACGCAUGGGCGCCCUACCAGGCGAUGUUCGUUCAAGGCCUGGACCGCAUCGGCACAGUCGAGGCCCGCAACAAGGCCUUCGAGUUGGCCGACCUCUGGAUCAAGUCCAACUACAAGGGCUUCCAGGAGACGCAGGCCAUGUUUGAAAAGUACGAUGUUCUAAGGCCGGGCACAAACGGAGGUGGAGGUGAAUACGUGUCUCAAACGGGAUUCGGAUGGACGAACGGAGUCGUGUUUGAGUUCUUCGAUCGAUGGGGCACCCAACUCAAAUCCAGUCAAACCAAGGACGAUGACAUAUUCUUGAAUGUGCUUGAGUUGUGUGUGCCUUGAAUUUUUAUUGUUUUGACUUCUGAAUUUGAUGAAACACUUUGUCUGUAUAUGAGGUACGUGAUGAGUGCGAGACAUGUAUAAAGGUGCACAUACGCACUGUUG